CCUCUGCUACACCGCCGCCCGGCCUUUGCAUUCCAGCCUAAAGGAUGGAGCCCCCUACUCUUCCACCAUCCUGUUCACCUGGGCAGAGAAGGCUGCAGAAACAGUCAGCUGUGACAAGCCCUGCAAAGAUUCCCAGGAAUUCGGGAAGGACAUCACCUCCACCAGACUCCAUUGGUCCCAAGCUGACCCACGUUCAAGAGGAAAGGAAUUAGACUCUGUGUGUUGAUGGGCAUGACAAGGUCCCAUUGUACACAGCACAUGCAAUGGGAGCCGUGUCGCGGCCAUCUUUGAAAAGGGCAAUCUGCCACUCGAACCCUCUGCUCACCUGCAAAAUCGGAUCAGAUCAACCAGACCGCUUCAAGGAGCAGCCUGCAGAGAACAAUGCUUAACAUCCAUCAAAGUCACUUUUUCGACAGGCUUUCUCAUACUUCAUGGUUCACCCUUUCUGCUUCCAGAAGAGCCGCCGCAGCUGUAGCACACACCUCGAUGGCCACCCACCCACGAGAAGAGCCCUCGGUGACAGGGCCUUCCCAGCAGCUCACGGUCGCGGUGUUCACCCAGCUUUCUUCUGCAUUCAGGUGGCCUCACCUGGGGCAGAGGAUUAAGUCUAACGGGAGACUCAGAAUCAAAGUGAGGAAGGCUCAACACGAUGUCAUGGACAGAGAGUGUAAAUCGGUAACACCUUUAUCAAAGGGCGGCUCGGCCAAACGUAUCAAAAUGUAAUCUGCGCAUACUCUUUGACCCAGCAUUUCCCCCUUCUUAGAAUUUAGCCCAAGGAGAUAGUGGCCCAAAUGCAAGAGGGCACGUGCGUAAGCAGGUACGCACAGUGUUGUUCAUAAUGCGAAAAAUUGCAAACAACCUUCCCACCCACAAGCUAGUGAUAGAUUAGGCAGAUAAAUUGUGGUUCAUUAAUACUAAUCUUCAAAGAAAGAUGUAGAUCUGUACAGGCUUAUACGGAAAAAUCUUCAAAACAUAUGGUUAAGUGGGGGGGGGGGAAGUAUUGGAAAGGUACCUAUCAUAAAUCACAUUUAUAUAAAACUCUCUGUGUGCUUCAGCCCAAAGAGAGAUGUCUAGAAGAAGGGCCCCUCGGUGGUAGCAUUUGGUAUGAAUCUUGUUAAAAUAUUUACUAAUGAGAAGGAGGCUUAUCUUACACCUACUGUGUGCUAUGGAUUGUUGCAAAUCUCUUUCAUGCAUUAACCCGCUUUAGCCCCCCAACCACCCUGGUAAGUGGAUACUGUUAUUGUCUCCAUUUUAGGGGACAGGAAUACUGAGGCACAUGGAGGUCAAACAGUUUUCCCACCAUCACACAGCCAGUAAAUGGCGAAGAUGGGAGCCAAACCCAGGCGGUCAGCCUCCAGGGUCCGGGCUCUUACCCAUCGAGCUAUCCUACCACUCUGCAGUGACUUGAUAGAGCAUUUUUACCAAAACAAUAAAGCCCUUUUUUGAAGUCA